CCUACGGGUGGCAGCAGUGGGGAAUAUUGCACAAUGGGGGAAACCCUGAUGCAGCGACGCCGCGUGAGUGAAGAAGUAUUUCGGUACGUAAAGCUCUAUCAGCAGGGAAGAAAAUGACGGUACCUGACUAAGAAGCCCCGGCUAACUACGUGCCAGCAGCCGCGGUAAUACGUAGGGGGCAAGCGUGAUCCGGAUUUACUGGGGUUAAAGGGAGCGUAGACGGCAGCGCAAGUCUGGAGUGAAAGCCCAGGGCUUAACCCUGGAACUGCUUUUGAAACUGUGCCGCUGGAGUGAAGGAGAGGUAAGCGGAAUGCCUAGUGUAGCGGUGAAAUGCGUAGAUAUUAGGAAGAACCCCAGUGGCGAAGGCGGCUUACCGGACUGUAACUGACGUUGAGGCUCGAAAGCGUGGGGAGCAAACAGGAUUAGAUACCCGAGUAGUC
rnacentral:rRNA from 1 species